GACGAACGCUGGCGGCGCGCCUAACACAUGCAAGUCGAGCGGAGAUAUACGAAGAGUAAUCCGAGUAUAUCUUAGCGGCGGACGGGUGAGUAACGCGUGAGUGACCUGCCUCUUACAGGGGAAUAACGUGCCGAAAGGCACACUAAUACCGCAUAAGACCACGAAACCGCAUGGUUAUGAGGUCAAAGGAGCAAUCCGGUAAGAGAUGGGCUCGCGUCCGAUUAGAUAGUUGGUGAGGUAACGGCCCACCAAGUCGACGAUCGGUAGCCGACCUGAGAGGGUGAUCGGCCACAUUGGAACUGAGAGACGGUCCAAACUCCUACGGGAGGCAGCAGUGGGGAAUAUUGGGCAAUGGGGGAAACCCUGACCCAGCGACGCCGCGUGAGGGAAGAAGGUUUUCGGAUUGUAAACCUCUGUUCUUGGUGAAGAGGGGAAGACGGUAGGCCAAGGAGGAAGCCACGGCUAACUACGUG
rnacentral:rRNA from 1 species